GAUGAACGCUGGCGGCGUGCCUAAUACAUGCAAGUCGAGCGAACGGACGAGAAGCUUGCUUCUCUGAUGUUAGCGGCGGACGGGUGAGUAACACGUGGAUAACCUACCUAUAAGACUGGGAUAACUUCGGGAAACCGGAGCUAAUACCGGAUAAUAUUUUGAACCGCAUGGUUCAAAAGUGAAAGACGGUCUUGCUGUCACUUAUAGAUGGAUACGCGCUGCAUUAGCUAGUUGGUAAGGUAACGGCUUACCAAGGCAACGUUGCAUAGCCGACCUGAGAGGGUGAUCGGCCAAACUGGAACUGAGACACGGUCCAGACUCCUACGGGAGGCAGAAGUAGGGAAUCUUCCGCAAUGGGCGAAAGCCUGACGGAGCAACGCCGCGUGAGUGAUGAAGGUCUUCGGAUCGUAAAACUCUGUUAUUAGGGAAGAACAUAUGUGUAAGUAACUGUGCACAUCUUGACGGUACCUAAUCAGAAAGCCACGGCUAACUACGUG
rnacentral:rRNA from 1 species